rnacentral:tRNA from 1 species
ACCUAGAUAGUUUAUUUAAAAUUGCGGUUUGUGGAUCCGUAGAUGGGUGUGGACUCCUUUAGGUA